UCCGUAGGGUGCAAGCGUUAAUCGGAAUUACUGGGCGUAAAGCGUGCGCAGGCGGUCUCGUAAGACAGGUGUGAAAUCCCCGGGCUUAACCUGGGAACUGCGCUUGUGACUGCGAGGCUGGAGUGCGGAAGAGGGAGGUGGAAUUCCACGUGUAGCAGUGAAAUGCGUAGAGAUGUGGAGGAACACCGAUGGCGAAGGCAGCCUCCUGGUCUAGCACUGACGCUCAUGCACGAAAGCGUGGGGAGCAAACAGG
rnacentral:rRNA from 1 species